rnacentral:rRNA from 1 species
UUGCGGGGCUCAACCCCGUACAGCCGUUGAAACUGCCGGGCUCGAGUGGGCGAGAAGUAUGCGGAAUGCGUGGUGUAGCGGUGAAAUGCAUAGAUAUCACGCAGAACCCCGAUUGCGAAGGCAGCAUACCGGCGCCCUACUGACGCUGAGGCACGAAAGUGCGGGGAUCAAACAGGAUUAGAUACCCUGGUAGUCCGCACAGUAAACGAUGAAUGCUAGCUGUCCGGGGGGAUUGACCCCUGGGUGGCACAGCGAAAGCGUUAAGCAUUCCACCUGGGGAGUACGCCGGCAACGGUGAAACUCAAAGGAAUUGACGGGGGCCCGCACAAGCGGAGGAACAUGUGGUUUAAUUCGAUGAUACGCGAGGAACCUUACCCGGGCUCAAACGCCGAAGGAACAUUCCCCGAAAGGGGAAUGGCCAGCAAUGGUCUUCGGCGAGGUGCUGCAUGGUUGUCGUCAGCUCGUGCCGUGAGGUGUCGGCUUAAGUGCCAUAACGAGCGCAACCCCCACCGACAGUUGCUAACUGGUCAAGCAGAGGACUCUGGCGAGACUGCCGGCGCAAGCUGCGAGGAAGGCGGGGAUGACGUCAAAUCAGCACGGCCCUUACGUCCGGGGCGACACACGUGUUACAAUGGCAGGUACAGAGAGAAGCAAUGCGGCGACGCAAAGCGGAACUUGAAAGCCUGUCUCAGUUCGGAUUGGAGUCUGCAACUCGACUCCAUGAAGCUGGAUUCGCUAGUAAUCGCGCAUCAGCCAUGGCGCGGUGAAUACGUUCCCGGGCCUUGUACACACCGCCCGUCAAGCCAUGGAAGCCGGGAGUGCCUGAAGUGUGCAACCGCAAGGAGCGCCCUAAGGUAAAACUGGUGACUGGGGCUAAGUCGUAACAAGGUAACCGUAA